GUUAGGGCACUAUUUUCCUGCGCAUUGAGAGUUGCGGUAUUUCCGUCUUUUCACUUAGUUUGAUGUCACCUGUUUGGUACAAAAACUAUGCACACACACACACACACACACACACACACACACAACACCUGCGCGCAAGUGCACUCAUCAUCCAUCUGAGGGGCUCGCUCAACUUCCUCUGUGCGCGUGGAUGUCAACCGCGGGAAGCUCGGUAACGAAAAGAGAUCACUACUCCCCAGUCUGCCUUGUGAAAUGUUCGGUUAACCUCCCGGUGGAUGAGCUCUGAGAUGAACGGUCAGCGGAGAGUCAAACUGUUUCUUCUUUCGUGGUAUUCAGUCCUCCAGCUGCUGACAGCACAAGAAGCUCAGAGCCAACUGACAGAGACAGACGGAAGACUACAGAGGAGGGCUAAUGCACUGCGGAGGAAACGGGAUCUCCUAGGGGAGGAGACAUUCAGUCCUCUUCUCUCUGAAGCAACUCUCCCUCGCAGUGUUCUACAUAAUUACACAGCCCGCGAUGCCUCUUCAGGUAGACACACACACACACACACACACACAGGGUGAGGUUGGGUCAACGCGGCUACAGAAAAGACUAAAAAGCA
rnacentral:lncRNA from 8 species